rnacentral:rRNA from 1 species
GCUAUGGGGCUUGCUCCAUAGACUGAGUGGCAGACGGGUGAGGAACGCGUGGGAAUCUACCUAGCAGCGUGGGAUAACUUCUGGAAACGGGAGCUAAUACCACAUACGUCCUUCGGGAGAAAGAUUUAUCACUGUUAGAUGAGCCCGCGUUAGAUUAGCUAGUUGGUAAGGUAAAAGCUUACCAAGUCGACGAUCUAUAGCUGGUCUGAGAGGAUGGAC